rnacentral:rRNA from 1 species
CGUAGGGUGCGAGCGUUAAUCGGAAUUACUGGGCGUAAAGCGUGCGCAGGCGGUUUUGUAAGACAGGUGUGAAAUCCCCGGGCUUAACCUGGGAACUGCGCUUGUGACUGCAAGACUCGAGUACGGCAGAGGGGGUGGAAUUCCACGUGUAGCAGUGAAAUGCGUAGAGAUGUGGAGGAACACCGAUGGCGAAGGCAGCCCCCUGGGUCGAUACUGACGCUCAUGCACGAAAGCGUGGGGAGCAAACAGGAUUAGAUACCCUGGUAGUCCACGCCCUAAACGAUGCGAACUAGGUGUUGGAGAAGGAGACUUCUUUAGUACCGCAGCUAACGCGUGAAGUUCGCCGCCUGGGGAGUACGGUCGCAAGAUUA